rnacentral:rRNA from 1 species
GAUGAACGCUAGCGGCAGGCCUAAUACAUGCAAGUCGAGGGGUAGAAGAGGCUUGCUUCUUUGAGACCGGCGCACGGGUGCGUAACGCGUAUGCAACCUACCUUCAUCUGGGGGAUAGCCCGGAGAAAUCCGGAUUAAUACCACAUAAAAUCACAGGAUGGCAUUAUCCAAUGAUCAAACAUUUAUGGGAUGCAGAUGGGCAUGCGUGUCAGUAGCUAGUUGGCGGGGUAACGGCCCACCAAGGCGACGAUGACUAGGGGGUCUGAGAGGAUGGCCCCCCACACUGGUACUGAGACACGGACCAGACUCCUACGGGAGGCAGCAGUAAGGAAUAUUGGUCAAUGGAGGCAACUCUGAACCAGCCAUGCCGCGUGCAGGAAGACUGCCCUAUGGGUUGUAAACUGCUUUUAUUCGGGAAUAAACCUUAUUACGUGUAAUAAGCUGAAUGUACCGAAGGAAUAAGGAUCGGCUAACUCCGUGCCAGCCGCCGCGGUAA